UUCCCGAUUCAAGGGUAGGCAGCGCCCUCUUCAGCAUGCUUUUUCGGCUAAAGGUAAGAUAUUGUAAACAAAAAUAUAUUGAGUGUUAUUUGUGAAGAAAGAAAUAUGAUGGACAAAGAAAAUAGUGUAUUCCUCAGUUUAACUGAAUAUUUCCGGUAUUUGGAAGCAACUCCAAAUAAUAGGAAUGUGAUAGAAGGAGAAGCGGUCUUGAAUGCCGGUCAUGUAUUAUGUGUGGGAAUAUAGGUAAAAGUAUUAGUAUUAUGCUUAGAAUUGUUCGCCUUAACAUCUUGAAAAUAAUAUUAAAAAAAAAUAUCUUUAUAUUUCAGCAAAGCAAGCCUCUGACUUGGGGAAUUGUAAAUAUAUUAUAAAAGAGAAUAAUAAUUAUGAACUGAAAAAAAAACAUAAAUACUUUGCACAGGUGCAGGUGGGAAUUGCAAUCCUAAAUUUAGACAUUUUCCACUUUAUUAUUUAUUUUUCAAGCAAUAAUUCAUUCAUUGAAAUUAAGGUGCCCUUUGAUGAAGAAUACACAUAUAAUAUGUUAACUUCUUUGAAAAAAAAAUAUAUUGAGAAAAUGUUACACCAUAUUUGUAAUGAAUAAUUGAAAAAUUAAUAUAUUUUUUGAAAUAAAAUUCCAGUUAUUCUA